GACGAACGCUGGCGGCGUGCCUAAUACAUGCAAGUUGAGCGCUGAAGGUUGGUACUUGUACCAACUGGAUGAGCAGCGAACGGGUGAGUAACGCGUGGGGAAUCUGCCUUUGAGCGGGGGACAACAUUUGGAAACGAAUGCUAAUACCGCAUAAAAACUUUAAACACAAGUUUUAAGUUUGAAAGGUGCAAUUGCAUCACUCAAAGAUGAUCCCGCGUUGUAUUAGCUAGUUGGUGAGGUAAAGGCUCACCAAGGCGAUGAUACAUAGCCGACCUGAGAGGGUGAUCGGCCACAUUGGGACUGAGACACGGCCCAAACUCCUACGGGAGGCAGCAGUAGGGAAUCUUCGGCAAUGGACGAAAGUCUGACCGAGCAACGCCGCGUGAGUGAAGAAGGUUGUCGGAUCGUAAAACUCUGUUGGUAGAGAAGAACGUUGGUGAGAGUGGAAAGCUCAUCAAGUGACGGUAACUACCCAGAAAGGGACGGCUAACUACGUG
rnacentral:rRNA from 1 species